rnacentral:rRNA from 1 species
CGGCAGCACAGGAGAGCUUGCUCUCUGGGUGGCGAGUGGCGGACGGGUGAGGAAUACAUCGGAAUCUACUUUUUCGUGGGGGAUAACGUAGGGAAACUUACGCUAAUACCGCAUACGACCUACGGGUGAAAGCAGGGGAUCUUCGGACCUUGCGCGAUUGAAUGAGCCGAUGUCGGAUUAGCUAGUUGGCGGGGUAAAGGCCCACCAAGGCGACGAUCCGUAGCUGGUCUGAGAGGAUGAUCAGCCACACUGGAACUGAGACACGGUCCAGACUCCUACGGGAGGCAGCAGUGGGGAAUAUUGGACAAUGGGCGCAAGCCUGAUCCAGCCAUACCGCGUGGGUGAAGAAGGCCUUCGGGUUGUAAAGCCCUUUUGUUGGGAAAGAAAUCCAGCCGGCUAAUACCUGGUUGGGAUGACGGUACCCAAAGAAUAAGCACCGGCUAACUUCGUGCCAGCAGCCGCGGUAAUACGAAGGGUGCAAGCGUUACUCGGAAUUACUGGGCGUAAAGCGUGCGUAGGUGGUUAUUUAAGUCCGUUGUGAAAGCCCUGGGCUCAACCUGGGAACUGCAGUGGAUACUGGAUGACUAGAGUGUGGUAGAGGGUAGCGGAAUUCCUGGUGUAGCAGUGAAAUGCGUAGAGAUCAGGAGGAACAUCCAUGGCGAAGGCAGCUACCUGGACCAACACUGACACUGAGGCACGAAAGCGUGGGGAGCAAACAGGAUUAGAUACCCUG